UAAAUUCCAAUUCUAUUGCCUUUCAAUCAAUUAUAUACAAACUGAUGCUUUAAGUCAAUGAUUUCAUACACAGUAGCAUAUUAAAAACACACACUGUACGUUCAUGUCCAUCAUCAAAAUCCUACUAAGAAUAGGUUACUGAGCCUCGACAAAUUUUGGGUGCUUCAGAAUAUCAAAGCAUCACGGUGUUGGAAAUUCUGACUAAAUUCUACCACAACUAACGAUACCCUAAACUCUCUACCUCUUAACUUGAGAUGCUCAGGAAUUAAUCUCCACAUAUGGAGCACUAGACAGUUCGAUGGCUCAACAUACUUUAAAUUCAUCUUCUUUACCCAUCAUUCUUGAAUAUGCAGUUUAACUCGCGAAAGAGGUCUGCCACAUGCAUGCAUCCACCUCUCCAGAUCCAUUAGGUAAUGCAGAAGAAAGACAUUUAAGGACAUUAGUUCUUACCUAAGCAUCUCUCCCGACAGUAAUUUUGGUCCACUCAAUACUGGUGAGAUGCUGAAAUUAUUGCCAACAGCAUGGAACGAAGGGUGCCCAAGAGGCACUGGUCGAUCUGGAAUCUGUGGAACUUCAAUAUCUCCUUCUAACAUUUUCAGCGCAUCCAGAAUGGUUGGCCUUGAAACCACCAUUGUAUGAGCACAAAAAAUCCCAACAAGCACAAACCUUUCCAUUAUCCCCUUCGGAUUUGAAUUUGGAGAAUCACCACCUCUCAACAAAGAAGCAUCCAAAGCCUGUUCCACUUUUCCAGCUUUCACCAAUGACCAGGCCCGGUCUGUGAUCAAUAAAGCACGAGGUGACCCUGAAGAAGACAAAUCAAGAGCUUUUCUCCCGCACAUUAUCUCCAAAACAACCACCCCAAAGCUAUAAACAUCGCUCUUCUCAGUCAGUUGACCAUAAAGAGCAUAUUCGGGUGCUAUGUACCCAUGAGUUCCAGCCACUCUUGUCGUAAGAUGAGACUGCCCUUCCCUACUUUGCUUUGCCAACCCAAAAUCGGCAACUCUUGCUCUCAUAUCAGCAUCUAACAAUAUAUUUGUCCCCUUGAUAUCUCUAUGAUAUAUUCCAGGCUUGACUCCAUGGUGCAAAUAAGCUAAUCCCUUUGCCACAUCCAAAAUUAUGCUCUUUCUUUGAGGCCAACUUAACAAUUGCUUUUGAAUUUGAUUAACCGAUGAUGGAAAUAAAUGGUCAUCAAGAUUCCCAUUUGACAUGUAAUCAUAAACAAGAUACCUCUGAUUGCCUCUCUCAUCAGAAUUUACAUCAUCGUCAAUCACACAGCACCCUCUGAGGGGCAUCAAAUUCCUGUGCUUCAAGUUGCUAAUAAUCUCAACCUCAUUGCAAAACUCUACGUCACCUUGAAAAUCAGAUUCUAUAACCCUUUUAAUAGCCACCACUGUCCCAUCAGAUAAAACCCCCUUGUAAACAAAACUAAAUCCGCCUCUCCCAAUAAAAUUCUUCUGCGAGAAAUUGUCUGUUGCCUUCUCAAGAUCCCGAAUUUUAAACCAAAUUGAUCCUGUAUUCGGCCUCAGUUUAGGCCUAGACCCUUGUUGUUCAUCUAAAUCAAAACCAAACCCUGGAUUCUUUUUCCUUCUCCGUUUCUUAUCAUACCAAAGAUACAAUCCUAACAAACUAGAGAUUCCUAAAAUAGCAACACCAGCACCAGUCAAGCCAAAAACAAGAGCAGAAUGAGAAUUGCUAGCUGAACCAACGGUUGAAUUUAAUUCCAAACCAAAUAUACAUGAAACAACACCAUCACUUUCAGGACCAAACUAGUUAACAAUACCAGCAGCAUAAAGAACAGCAAAGUAAAAACAAUCUUGAGCAUGAGUUUGAUUACCAUCAGCAUACACCAACAACGACUUUGCUGUAUAACCAGCUCUAAGACAAGAACCACAACCUGUAAUAUCAGUAAGAUCAGACCGGCAAUCUGAUUCAAGAGAAGUCGACUUACCAAGUUGAUCAACCCAGUCUUGAGAUGUCUCUAUACGGGCACAGAUGUUUGGUGAUGUAACAAACUGUAAAGGGUUCAAGCAGUGAGAGACAAGAUUGUCGGAAAGAGAAAAGGAGCUGAGCUUUGACUGGUAAUCUUGAAGGCAAGAACUAGAGGUAGCUAAGUCUGGAAGUUGAAAAAGAGAUGUUUCUUUGAGAUGUUGAGAUAGGGCAACCCCAAAGAGGGAGAGUAUGGCUUGGCAACAUUGGGCCUUGCUUGUGGUGGUAGAAUUGUCAUUUUGAGCAAGAGGGUUGAAGUUUCGACAAAGAGUUUUGUUCCAUGGGAUUCUUAAGACAUAGUUAAGGUCCAUAGGGCAUAUGCUUGAAGUGGAGGUUUCUGCUGCUGCAUAGGUGAGAGGGAGACAGAAUGAUAUUAAGACAAGAAACCUUAAGAAAUCAAGAUUAGUGCUGCCCCCCAUGCCAAGCUUUAGAUUUUGCUAAGAAUAGGGUUGCUUAUGAUUUAUUGUUAUCUUGGCUUAUGAGCUCUUGCUUGAACUGCAGAGGAGAGGAAGAAGAAGACGAAGAAAUCAUAUGGAAGAAGAGAGGGAAAGUUCUGGUCAAACACUCACUUCAAGGGUUGGGGCCGCAGGAAGUUCAGUCGGUUAGCACCAUUCAAAUAAACAAAAAAUAAUCAUCCCAAUUAAUUUGGAUAAAAAAAAAGUUUGAAAAUCUUUUAAGAAUAAAAAAUUCCUGUAAUUCUUCGGAAUAAAUUUCAAAAUAUUCAGGUAAGGGGAAAAAAAUGUCACGGUAUCCUAAAUUACAUGAACUACCCCAACGCUCACCCUACAUUGUUAAUUGUUAUGAGUGCUAAACUCAGCUCGCCAAAUUUAGUUGAAAAAUCCACGAUUCUACUCUAAUAAUAGUUAGUUUUUCAAGUUAAAUAAAAAAAUUGUUUUAGUGAAAUCUAAUUAGACAAGCCUUUUCAAGUUGUUAAGUGAUUAAAACAAAAAAUUAUGUAAGAUGUUCUGUUUAGUAUUAUAAUAAUAAUUAUUAUUAUUUAAAAUAUUUUUUAUUUUAAAAUAAUAUUUUUUAUUUAAAAUUAUAAAAAAAUAAUUUAAAUAAAAAAUUUAAUUUCUUAAAAAAGUUUAGAUAGUAAAAACAAACCGUAAUUUGCAAGCUACAUGCUUGGAAGUGGACUAGACGUGCUCCAAAAGAUAGGGUUUGCUUUUACGAGGUAAUCAUAGUUAUGAAGCCGGAGGUCUGGCGGGUUGAUAUAGAACCGGUGAUUAGAUUGAUCUGGAUUUGUUAAAAGACCGGACGGUGCAAUAACUCGGUAAAACCUAGUUGACCCGGUGGGUCAAUCCAUGGCCUGAGCAGACCCGGAUAAGACCCGGCAUUUUGAAGAUGAUCCACUUGAGAUGAUUGCAAGCCGAUUUGGGUUUGGAGAUCUUAAGGCUUGGUGUUGGGUUCUAUUUCUUCCUUCUAGCCCUAACGAUUGAUGACAAUAACUUAAAGGAAUUGAAGGCUAAACAAGACCAAACUCACAGUGUUUCAGGAGAGAGAGGGGCAAUAGAUAGCAGUACCAGCACCAUAGGUUUUAUUAUCUUCAUCAAGUCUUUAAUAUCUCUCUCUUUUUCUCUCUAGCUGAUGUUUUCAAGCAUGUAGAAAUCAUAGGAAUUUACAGGGGAAAGAUGUAAAAGAGAGGAUUUGGGUGCGUUAAGGAGCAAGGACUCUGCUUCACCCCACGGGAAAGCAUGUCAAAGAGCCGGAGAGGAUAGAAAAACUUUGUGAGAAGAUGGUGAUGAGAUUAAUGUCAAAGAGAUCUCUGCACAAAACAACCAACGACCAAUAAUGUCACCCUCUCCCAUACCCAUGUCCUGCCAAAUUGGGUCCCUCUUCACCUUUUUAUUAUUAUUUUUCUUUCUCAUUUCUUAUUUAAGUCUUUAACCACCUGAUCUCAUAAAUAACCCAGGUUUUAUGGAUUGAUUUAAAUUAAUUCGGGUUAAUAUUUAAAAUCUAGAAUCUAGUUUUUUGAGUGGGUUAAUUUUUAAAUUGGUUUAAUAAAUAAAGGAUGGUAGGGCGUAACAUGGACGAAAGCUGCAAUGCUUUUACGAAAGGAAGACUGUUCACUGACAUGGCAUUUUUGCAGUUAUUGGAAAAGUCUUCACAUGAAUUUUUAGGAUUGUGGAAAUUUUUUUUUUAAAAGAAAUAUAUUUUACUUGAAAAAUAUUAAAUUAAUAAUUUUUUAGAGAUUUAUAUUGGUAUUGAUAUGUUAAUAUUAAAAAAAUCUAAAAUAAAAUAUUAUAUUAAUAUAUUUUUAAAUAAAAAAUAAUUUUUUAAAAAAACUAAACCACAAUAUCAAAUACACAACAAUUAAAUAUCUAUGUAGCUAUCUAUGUAGCAUCUCUAUGGCGGGAAGCUUUGCUAUCUUUUUCCUAUUAGAAUUUUUUAUAUUUUUGAUGCAUUAAUUCAAUACAAUAAAUGUAUUUUUAAAAUUAUUGGAGAAAAAGAGUUAAUCAAUCAAAAUGAAAACAAAAUUUUGAAAAAUAUAGUUAUUAAAUUGAUAUAAAAUUUAAACCGGAAAAUAAUACAAGUUAUUGGUUUGUUAAGUCAAUUAUGAAUUACCAAAUUAAUUUAUAUUAGUUUUUUUAUGAAAAAAUUCAUUUAAUUCUUUUGAUAUUAAUCCUGCAAAGUCAUCUAAAUUAGAUUUUAAAUCAUAAAUUCCGAAACUGAACCGAAGUUAGCCGCUAUAUUGGAAAGUACCGAUUGAAGCCAAGAUUACUGGCAACUUUUGACCUCCAUGACAGUGACAAAAGAACCUCCCUUAAUGACAGUGACAAUCAUCGACCAUUCCUCGUCUUUGGGCUGCACGUGACAUUUGGCAAGCAACAGUUGCACGCAAGGCAGAAAUUAAGCGAUUAAAGUAGCUAAGACAUUGUUGUCCUCUGCUCUGUACCUGUUCAUCGUUGGAAGCAAUGACUAGCUUGUAUCUUUUGGGUUUGUUUUUAAAAUAAUUUUUAUGAGUAUGUUUUUUUAAAAAUAAAUUUAGAAAAAAAAUAAUUAAACUUGAUUAGUUGAAUUUAGAUACAAGUUUAUUAAAAAAUAUAAUUAAAAUUUAUGUGUAAUAAAAAAACAUAUAAAUUAUUUAAAUUUAGUUACAUCAUUAGGUUUGUUUGUUUAAUUGCAGCUUUUGUAUUUGCUGUGUAAAAAAUGUAGUUAGGUAUUUGGUAAUACACCAAACUGUGUUUUAUACAGUGGGACCCAGUAAAAAAUUAAGUUUGAAACAUAAUUUUUGUGAAGUUGUUUUUACAUAUUUUUUUAACUUAGUUUCAUAAAAUUAUGUUUGUUUUUGCGUUUCAAAAACAUUUUUAAAAAAAUUUGAUAUUUUUUUAUUUACUUUAAAUUAAUUUUUUUUUGUAUUUUCAGAUCAUUUUGAUGCGCUGAUAUAAAAAAUAACUUUUAAAAAAUAAAAAAAUUAUUUUAAUGCAUUUUCAAGUAAAGAACAAUUUUAAAAAGUAACCAUAACCAUAAAUCAAUUAAUAAUAAUAUAUUUUAGUUUAAAAUAUAGUUGCGGUUGGUUUUUAAAGUGCUAUUUAAUUAGGAACGGAGCUUGGAACGGAGCUUCAAUCCUACAACAGUAACGAGUACAUCAGGAUGGUUAUCAGCAACCUGACAUCUGGUAUCCAAGUGAUAUGUUAAUAACCUAAACAUUCUUUCUGUUUUUCAAAUCGAUCAUAGUCUAUAUAUGGUUUCGCUUUACUGUUCCAGGAAAUAUAUAAGGAGGGAUGAAAUUUGGAAUCUCAAACUUGGCUGCAAUGGGCUGUUUUCCUUUCCUGAGAGCACUUAAACGAACUAGAACAAGAAGUUCAGGCUGUAUGGAUGAAGUUACGGUUCUGACAAAGCUACACAAUAGAGAACUCUCUAAGGUCCUUAAAAAGCUUGAGAGACAGCUUAAUGGAUUUAAGUAUUCAAAUUUUGAUUUCUAUACUUCACAUAGUGAAAGAAUAAAUCAUCCCACCGAAUAUGGUAUGUUUUUAUCUACAUGUCAAUUCAGAAUUUCCUGCUCGUGUUUCUCAAAUAACAAGUCUAUCCUAACUGUCAAGUUCAGGGUAUGACUUGUUACUAAUUCUUCUAUACCUAUUUUAAUUUUGAUUGUUGCAACUUGAAUGUGAAGAUUUUAAGGAGAUAAAGUGGCAUGUUGUGGCACUGGUCCGUAUGGAGGUUCCAAGUGUGGUCUGAACAAGUUCGAAUUAUGCGAUAAUGCGAGUGAAUAUCUCUUCUUUGAUGGAAUUCAUCCAGCAGAUGAGGUUCAUAAUCAAUUUGCAAAGUUGUUCUGGAGUGGAAAUCCUGACGUUGGAGGGCCUUACAAUCUCAAAACACUGUUUGAGGAAUAGCAUAAAUGAUAAAACAAGGUGUACUUUUUUCCAGAUGCUGUAUUAGAUAACCCAGAAGCCAAAGUAUACUUGCUUCUCUUUAUUCUAUUUUGACUUGGAAGAAAUGACAUUAGAGGUGAGAGCAGAGUUCUGUUCUUGAGUACAACACUCACAGGAAUCAGAAAGAUCAUAUCUUGGUUUAGUAAUGCACUAGUUUACGAUGUAUCUGAUCAGCUCCUCAAAAUUCAAGAACCCUCUAAAAUCUGGUCUUUUUGAAGAGAUUCUGGGAGUGGCCCAGACUUGACAAUUUUCAACUUUAAAUUCCUGCUCAGAAUGAUAAGCAAAUACUUGACAUCUUAAAGCUUUCUGAAAGAAGAGAUGCUUAAAAUUCUGUUGGAUGUGUGGAAACAAUUGCUGGACCAUAGUGCAAUCUACACAGGUAUUUCUUCACGUACAAAAAUGCACUUAUCGAUUAUGACCUCUUUGAGAGAUCACAAGACCAACACCCUACCGGCAAGAAACUAAACAACUGGAGUCCUUUAAGGUUUGGUUCAACUUCACAAGUUUGAAAUUAAUAAAUAAGUUCUUUACAACCACGCAGAGAAGCUAUCGGCACUAGAUUCUCUACGACCACAUUAUAUUAAGUUAUUAACAAAGGACCAAAGCCAACAACACCUAGAUUUAUCAGCAAAUAUGAGCAAUAAAGUAUGAUCUACCUGUGUGUCCAUUCCACUGCAGAAAGUACUGCAGUCAGCUACAGACUGAUUAAAGACAUCGAAGGUAGCUGUAGAAGCUCUCUUGUAAUGAACCAGCAAAUUGUUAGACCUUAAUUCUGAAGCAGCAUUACAAAAGUUAAAUCAAACAAUAUGUUCAAGAACUAGUGAUAUAGAAGUCUUAGUUCAAGGACUACUAGCAUUUAGACCCAUAGGUCAAGAGAGUUAUGCACCUUUUAGCCUUUAAUUUAUCAGCCUCGUUACAUUGUUGGUGUGGCCUUUCGUUUGUAUUUUUCUCAUGUUCUGUUGGUAUGCUCGACUGGAAAUGAAGCUGAACUUCUUCCUAUUCUUAGGCUUUGGAAAUCAGCCUCAACCUGUCCUCUUUUGAGUUUUGUUUUGGCUUUAGCUUUUGUCAGGCAUUGGUCAACUAAGCAAUGUUGUUGUCAUAAAAUGGUGAUUUGAAGUAUUUUGUAGGCUAGUCUUGAUAUGGCUAGUUCUUGUAGUCUCAGGCCACUAAGAAAAUCUGUAGUAAUUUUCUCUGUAAUGUCAAUAUUAUCAAUGAUCCAAAAAAAAAAAAAGGGGGGGACAUGUCAAUAUUAUCAAUUUAUCAAGGUUGGACAUUGGCAGCUUGGACUAAUCAUUGAUAUCCAUGUCAAGUAAAAGCACAGACGACAAAAGGAAUGGGAAGCGAUAGAAAUAUAUUGAAAACUUGAAUAAACAGAAAACAAAAACACCAAUGCUGAGUAGCCAUGGUGGGAUUUAUAUGCAUACAUUUAUUGAUCGAAAGUAGGGAACAUAUGUUGAUAUAUAACAUGUAUAUAGGGUUAAGGUCCCUGCAGCUUCACUGAAAAUUCAUUCAUUUCCUGGAGGAAUGAACCAAAUUCCAUUAAUCAAACGAGUAGAAGAAACCUGAUCCCAAUAGCAGCAAUUUAUCUAGACUUUUUGGAAUUUUGGGGUAAAUUUGUAUUUUUUCAGCAAUUUAUCUUAUAUACGAGGCAGAGGUUAAAUUCCAAUUCACAGUAGCAGAUUAAAAACACACAGUGUACGUUCAUGUCCAUCUUCAAAAUUCUACUAAGAAUAGGUUACCAAGCCUCGACAAAUUUUAGGUGCUUCAGAACAUCAAAGCAUCACAGUGUUGGUAAGUCUGACUAACUUCUAUCACAACUAAUGAUACCCUAAACUCUCUACCUCUUAACUUGAGAAACUCAGGAAUUAAUCUCCACAUACUGAGCACUAUACAGUUCAAUGGCCCAACAUACUUUAAAUUCAUCUUCUUUGCCAAUCAUUCUUGGAUAUGCAGGUUAACUAGCGAAAGAGGUCUGCCGCACGCAUGCAUCCACCUCUCCAGAUCCAUUAGGUAAUGCAGAAGAAAGCCAUUUAAGGGCAUUAGUGCUUACCUAAGCGUGUCUCCGGGCUGUAAUUUUGGUCCACUCAAUACUGGUGAGAUGCUGAAAUUGUUGCCAUCAGCAUGGAACGAAGGGUGCCCAAGAGGCACUGGUCGAUCUGGAAUCUGUGGAACUUCAAUAUCUCCUUCUAACAUUUUCAGCGCAUCCAGAAUGGUUGGCCUUAGAGCCACCAUUAUAUGAGCACACAAAAUCCCAACCAGCACAAACCUUUCCAUUAUCCCCUUCGGAUUUGAGUUUGAAGAAUCACUACCUCUCAACAAAGAAGCAUCCAAUGCCUGUUCCACUUUUCCAGCUUUCACCAAUGACCAGGCCCAGUCUGUGAUCAAUAAAGCCCGAGGUGACCCUGAAGAAGACAAAUCAAGAGCUUUUCUCCCACUCAUUAUCUCCAAAACAACCACCCCAAAGCUAUAAACAUCGCUCUUCUCAGUCAGUUGACCAUAAAGAGCAUAUUCGGGUGCUAAGUACCCAUGAGUUCCAGCCACUCGUGUCGUAAGAUGAGACUGCCCUUCCCUACUUUGCUUUGCCAACCCAAAAUCGGCAACUCUUGCUCUCAUAUCAGCAUCUAACAAUAUAUUUGUCCCCUUGAUAUCUCUAUGAUAUAUUCCAGGCUUGACUCCAUGGUGCAAAUAAGCUAAUCCCUUUGCCACAUCCAGAAUUAUGCUCUUUCUUUGAGGCCAACUUAACAAUUGCUUUUGAAUUUGAUUAUCCGAUGAUGGAAAUAAAUGGUCAUCAAGAUUCCCAUUUGACAUGUAAUCAUAAACAAGAUACCUCUGAUUGCCUCUCUCCUCAGAAUUUACAUCAUCGUCAAUCACACAGCACCCUCUGAGGGGCACCAAAUUCCUGUGCUUCAAGUUGCUAAUAAUCUCAACCUCGUUGCAAAACUCUGCAUCACCUUGAAAGUCAGAUUCUAUAACCCUUUUAACAGCCACCACUGUCCCAUCAGAUAAAACCCCCUUGUAAACAAAACCAAACCCGCCUCUCCCAAUAAAAUUCUUCUGCGAGAAAUUGUCUGUUGCCUUCUCAAGAUCCCGAAUUUUAAACCAAAUUGACCCUGUAUUCGGCCUCAGUUUAGGCCUAGACCCUUGCUGUUCAUCUAAAUCAAAACCAAACCCUGGAUUCUUUUUCCUUCUCCAUUUCUUAUCAUACCAAAGAUACAAUCCUAACAAACUAGAGACUAGUAAAAUAGCAACGCCAGCACCAGUCAAGCCAAAAACAAGAGCAGAAUGCGAAUUGCUAGCUGAACCAACUCUUGAAUUUAAAUCCAAACCAAAUAUACAUGAAACAACACCAUCACUUUCAGGACCAAACUCGUUAACAAUACCAGCAGCAUAGAGAACAGCAAAGUAAAAACAAUCUUGAGCAUGAGUUUGAUUACCAUCAGCAGCCACCAACAACGACUGUACUUUAUUACCAGCUCUAACACAAGAAGCACAAGCUGUAAGAUCAGUAAGAUCAGACCGGCAAUCUGAAUCAAGAGAAGUCGACUUACCAAGUUGAGCAACCCAGUCUUGAGAUGUCUCUAUACGGGCACAGAUGUUAGGUGAUGUAACAAACUGUAAAGGGUUAAAGCAGUGUGAGACAAGAUUGUCGGAAAGAGAAAAGGAGCUGAGCUUUGACUGGUAAUCUUGAAGGCAAGAACUAGAGGUAGCUAAGUCUGGAAGUUGAAAAAGAGAGGUUUCUUUGAGAUGUUGAGAUAGGGCAACCCCAAAGAGGGAGAGUAUGGCUUGGCAACAUUGGGCCUUGGUUGUGGUGUUGGAAUUGUCAUUUUGAGCAAGAGGGUUGAAGUUUCGACAAAGAGUUUUGUUCCAUGGGAUUCUUAAGACAUAGUUAAGGUCCAUAGGGCAUAUGUUUGAAGUGGAGGUUUCUGCUGCUGCAGAGGUGAGAGGGAGAAAGAAUGGUAUUAAGACAAGAAACCUUAAGAAAUCAAGAUUAGUGCUGCCCCCCAUGCCAAGCUUUAGAUUUUGCUAAGAAUAGGGUUGCUUAGGAUUUAUUGUUAUCCUGGCUUAUGAGCUCUGGCUUGAAUUGCAGAGAAGAGGAAGAAGAGGAAGAAUAGGAAGACGAAGAAAUCAUAUGGAAGAAGAGAGGGAAAGUUCUGGUCAAACACUCACUUCAAGGGUUGGUGUAGCAGGAAGUUCAGUCGGUUAGCACCAUUCAAAUAAACAAAAAAUAAUCAUCCCAAUUAAUUUGGAUAAAAAAAAGUUGGAAAAUCUUUUAAGAAUAAAAAAUUUCCUGUAAUUCUUCGGAAUAAAUUUCAAAAUAUUCCGGGAAGGGGAAAAAAAUUCCAUGGUAUCUUGAAUUACAUUAACUACCUCAACGCUCACCUCAUAUUAAACAUGAUUAUUUUUUAUUUGAUUUAAUUUUUAUAUAAAAAAAUAAUUAAACUGAAUUUUUUUAAAAAAAUUAAAAUUGAUUCAAGCCAAUCAAUUUCAGUUCAGUUUGGUUUUGUUUUUUUUAUAAUUUAAUAUUUUUUUUAUUUUUUUUAUUUUUUUAAUUUAAUUAGUUUUUUAAUUUUUUUGCUUAAUCCUCACCCGCAUCGCCAAAUUUACUUGAAAAAUCCAUGUUUCUACUCUAAUAAUAGUUAGUUUUUCAAGUUAAAUAAAAAAAAAAAUUUAGUGAAGUCUAAUUAGACAAGCCUUUUCAAGUUGUUUAGUGAUUAAAAACAAAUUAUAUAAAAUAAUCUGUUUGGUAUUAUAAUUAUGAUUAUUUUUUAAAAUAAUAAUUUUUUUAUUAGUAUAUUAAAAUGAUGUAAAAAUAUAAAAAAAAUUAAUUUAAAUAAAAAAUUAAAUUUUUUAAAAAUAUAUGUUUAGACAGUAAAAACAAACAGUAAUUUGCAAGUUGAAUGCUUGGAAGUGGACUAGACGCGCUCCAAAAGGGAGGGUUUGCUUUGACCUUGGAAUAAAGGAUGGUAGGGCGUAACAUGGAUGGAAGCUGCAAUGCUUUUAUGAAAGGAUGACUGUGACGGAGUUAAGGAAGUGUCAGCACAAUGAUUAGUUCACUGACAUGGCAUUUUCUCAACCGUUGGAUGAAAUCUUGUGGUUCAUCUUAUCCAUAUCGAUCUACAAUCUCAUCCCUAUUUAUUUAUUUAUUUCACUAAUUUUCAGAUUUUCCACCACUUUCUUCCCAUUUUUUUUUCCCUUCUCAAUGCUGUUCACGUCCAUGUUAUUGGAAAAGUCUUCACAUGAAUUUUUAGGAUUGUGGAAAUUUUUAUUAUUUUUAUAUAUUUAAAAAAUAUAUUUUGUUAAAAAAAUAUUAAAUUGAUAAUUUUUUAGUAGUUUAUAUUGGUUUUGAUAUCUUAAUAUUAAAAAAUCUAAAAUAAAGUAUUACAUUAAUAUAUUUUUAAAUAAAAAAUAUUUUUAAAAAAGCUAAACCACAAUAUCAACUACACAACAAUUAAAUAUCUAUACAGCAUCUCUAUGGCGGUAAGCUUUGCUAUCCUUUUCCUAUUAGCAUUUUUUUUAUUUUUGAUGCAAUAAUUCAAUAUAAUAAAUGUAUUUUUAGAAUUAUUAUUUUUAGAAUUAUCGGAGAAAAAGAGUUAAUCAAUUAAGAUGAAAACAAAAUUUUAAAAAAUAUAGUUAUUAAAUUGAUAUACAAUUUAAACUGGAAAAUAAUUUAAGUUAUUGGUUUGUUAAGUCAAUUAUGAAUUACCAAAUUAAUUUAGAUUAGUUUUUUUUUAUGAAAAAUUUAAUUUCAUUCUUUUGAUAUGAACCCUGCAAAGUCAUCUAAAUUAGAUUUUAAAUCAUAAAAUUCCGAAAUUGAACCGAAGUUAGCCGCUAUAUGCGAUUGAAGCCAAGAUUACUGACAACUUAUGACCUCACUGACAGUGACAAAAGAACCUCCCUUAAUGACCUCAAUGACAGUGACAAUCAUCGACCAUUCUUCGUCUUAAUAUUGUUCUCAUUUGUUCCCAUUCAUUGAAAAGGUGAUAGACCUUAAAACACAAUCACGUUAAAAUUUAAGGGAGUGGAGAAGCUACCAAGGCAGAAAUUAAGCGAUGAAGUAGCUAAGACAUUGGUGUCCUCUGCUCUUUACUUGUUCAUCGUUGGAAGCAAUUACUACUUUGUACCUUUCACUACAAACCCCACUAUGUUUCAAUCCUACAACAGAAACGAGUACAUCAGGAUAGAGGCAACCUGACAUCUGGUAUCCAAGUGAUAUGUUAAUAACCUAAACAUUCGUUCUGUUUUUCAAAUCGAUCAUAGUCUAUAUAUGGUUUCGCUUUACUGUUCCAGGAAAUAUACAAGGAAGGAUGAAAUUUGGAAUUUCAAACUUGGCUGCAUCGGGCUGUUUUCCUUUCCUGAGAGCACUUGAACGAACUAGAACAAGAAGUUCAGGCUGCAUGGAUGAAGUUACGGUUCUGACAAAGCUACACAAUAGAGAACUCUCUAAGGUCCUUAAAAAGCUUGAGAGACAGCUUAAUGGAUUUUAGUAUUCAAAUUUUGAUUUCUACACUUCACAUAGUGAAAGAAUAAACCAUCCCUCCGAAUAAGAUAUGUUUAUAUCUACAUGUCAAUUCAGAAAUUUCCUUCUUGUGUUUCUCAAAUAACAAGUCUAUCCUAACUGCCAGGUUCAGGGUAUGACUUUUUACUAAUCCUUCUAUACCUAUUUUAAUUUUGAUUGUUGCAACUUGAAUGUGAAGAUUUUAAGGAGAUAAAGUAGCAUGUUGUGGCACUGAUCCGUAUGGAGGUUCCAAGUGUGGUCUGAACAAGUUCUAAUUAUGCGAUAAUGCGAGUGAAUAUCUCUUCUUUGAUGGAAUUCAUCCAGCAGAUGAGGUUCAUAAUCAAUUUGCAAAGUUGCUGUGGAGUGGAAAUCCUGAUGUUGGAGGGCCUUACAAUCUCAAAACACUGUUUGAGGAAUAGCAUAAAUGAUAAAACAAGGUGUACUUUUUUCCAGAUGCUGUAUUAGUUAACCCAGAAGCCAAAUAAUACUUGCUUCUCUUUAUUCUAUCUUGACUUGGAAGAAAUGACAUUAUAGGUGAGAGCAGAGUUCUGUUCUUGAGAAGAACACUCACAGGAAUCAGAAAGAUCAUAUCUUGGUUUAGUAAUACACUAGUUUACGAUGUAUCUGAUCAGCUCCUCAAAAUUCAAGAACCCUCUAAAAUCUGGUCCUUUUGAAAAGAUUCUGGGAGUGGCACAGACUUGAUAAUUUUCAACUUUAAAUUCCUGCUCGGAAUGAUAAGGAAAUACUUGACAUCUUAAAGCUUUCUGAAAGAAGAGAUGCUUAAAAUUCUGUUGGAUGUGUGGAAACAAUUGCUGGACCAUAGUGCCAUCUACACAGGUAUUUCUUCACGUACAAAAUUGCACUUAUCGAUUAUGACCUCUUUGAGAGGUCACAAGACCAACACCCUACCGGCAAGAAACUAAACAAUUGUAGUCCUUUAAGGUUUGGUUCAACUUCACAAGUUAGAAAUUAAUGAAUAAGUUUCUUACAACCUCACGCAGAGAGGCCAUCGGCACUAGACUCUCUACGGCGGCCACAUUAUAGUAACAAAGGACCAAAGUCAAUGACACCUAGAUUUAUCAGCAAAUAUGAGCAACAAAGUAUGAUCUACCUGUGUGUCUCAUUCCACUGCAGAAAGUGCUGCAGUCAGCUACAUACUGAUUAAAGACAUCAAAGGUAGCUGUAGAAGCUCUCUUGUAAUGAAGCAGCAUUACAAAUUAAAUCAGACAAUAUGUUCAAGAACUAGUAAUAUAGAAAUCUUAGUUCAAGGACUACUAGCAUUUUGACCCAUAUUUCAAGACAGUUAUGUACCUUUUAGCCUUUAAUUUAUCAGCCUCGUUACAUUGUUGGUGUGGCCUUUCGUUUGUAUUUUUCUCAAGUUCUGUUGGAAUGCUCGACUGGAAAUGAAGCUGAACUUCUUCAUAUUCUUAGGCUUUGGAAAUCAGCCUCAACCUGUCCUCUUUUGAGUUUUGGUUUGGCUUUAGCUUUUGUCAGGCAUUGGUCUACUAAGCAAUGUUGUUGUCAUAAAAUGGUGAUUUGAAGUUUUUUGUAGGCUAGUCUUGAUAUGGCUACCUCUUGUAGUCUCAGGCCACUUAGAAGAUCUAUUGUCAUUUUCUCUUUAGUGUCAAUAUUAUCAAUGAUCCGAAAAAAAAAAGGGACAUGUCAAUAUUAUCAAUUUAUCAAGGUUGGACAUUGGCAGCUUGGACCAAUCAUUGAUAUCCAUGUUAAGGAAAAGCACAGACGACCAAAGGAAUGGGAAGUGAUAGAAAUAUAUUGAAAACUUGAAUAAACAGAAAACAAAAACACCAAUGCUGAGUAGCCAUGGUCGGAUUUAUAUGCAUGCGUAUAUUGAUGGAAAGUAGGGAACAUAUGUUGAUAUAUAACAUGCACAUAGGGUUAAGGUCCCUGCAGCUUCACUGAGAAUCCAUUCAUUUCCAGGAUGAAUGAAGCAAAUUUCAUUAAGCAAAGAACCGAGUAGAAGAAAACUGAUCCCAAUAGCAGCAAUUUAUCAAGACUUUUUAGAAUUUUGGAGUAAAUUUGUAUUUUUUUCAGCAAUUUAUCUUAGAUACGUGGCAGCGGUUAAAUUCCAAUUCUAUUGCCUUUCAAUCAAUUAUAUACAAACUGAUGCAUUAAGUCAAUGAUUUCAUACACUGUAGCAGAUUAAAAACACACACUGUACGUUCAUGUCCAUCUUCAAAAUCCUACUAAGAAUAGGUUGCCGAGCCUCGACAAAUUUUGGGUGCUUCAGAACAUCAAAGCAUCACAGUGUUGGAAAUUCUGACUAAAUUCUACCACAACUAAUGAUACCCUAAACUCUCUACCUCUUAACUUGAGAUGCUCAGGAAUUAAUCUCCACAUAUGGAGCACUAUACAUUUCGAUGGCUAAACAUACUUUAAAUUCAUCUUCUUUACCAAUCAUUCUUGAAUAUGCAGGUUAACUCAGUCUGCCGCAUGCAUGCAUCCACCUCUCUAGAUCCAUUAGGUAAUGCAGAAGAAAGACAUUUAAGGACAUUAGUGCUUACCUAAGCAUGUCUCCAGGCUGUAAUUUUGGUCCGCUCAAUACUGGUGAGAUGCUGAAAUUAUUGCCAUCAGCAUGGAACGAAGGGUGCCCAAGAGGCACUGGUCGAUC
rnacentral:lncRNA from 1 species